rnacentral:lncRNA from 1 species
AGAGAUGUGAGGGUCCAAGUGUGAUUCAAGUUUAAAGCCUCUAAUUCAGUUUGCAUGGCUUCUUCCCAGCAAUCAUGUUUUACAGCUUCAGCAUAGGAAUGUGGUUCAGUGAUGGUAGAGAUGGAGGUAAUGAAUGAUUGAAAAUUUUGAGAAAAAUUAGAAUAAGAGAGAAAAUCUUGAAUAGGGUAGCGCAUACCUUGAUGAAGAUUGGUGGAAGUUGAUAUGAGAUAGUGAUGGUAAUCUUGCAGAUAAGAUGGAGGAUGACGAGAACGACUGGACUGCCUCAGUGAAGGUAUAGGUGAAAUUGAUUGAGUAGGAUGGGGAAUAGUAAUGGGAGUAGGUGGAGGGGAUGAAACAAGAACUAAAUCAGGGAAAAUAUAAACAAAGGGAGUAGGUGAAACAGUGGAAAUAUCA